rnacentral:rRNA from 1 species
AGAUCAAGCUACGAAGGGCUCACGGAGGAUGCCUUGGUAUAUGGCGCCGAAGAAGGACGCGGUAAGCUGCGAAAAGCUGCGGGGAGGAGCAAACAUCUUAAGAUCCGCAGAUAUCCGAAUGAGGGAACUCAGCGCGAGUAAUGUCGCGUUACCG